GGGCGCAUAGCUCAGGGGUAGAGCGCUCGCUUUGCAUCGUUGAGAGGCAACCAAAACUCAAGCAUAUAGCAUGCGAGAGGUCGUGGGUUCGAAUCCCACUGUGUCCA
rfam:Cladophialophora immunda strain CBS 83496 unplaced genomic scaffold supercont1.6, whole genome shotgun sequence.